GGCCCGUUAGCUCAGUUGGUUAGAGCGUCGUGCUAAUAACGCGAAGGUCGUGGGUUCGAUCCCCACACGGGCCA
rnacentral:tRNA from 2 species